rnacentral:rRNA from 1 species
CGGUGUUCAACUGGCGUGCCCGCGGGACGUCCUGCCGGUGAGCUCAGCCCGCGAGGGCGGCUCAACUUGAAAUCCCAUCGCGGUGCUCUUCAUUGAGUGUCGAGGUGGGCCGGCACGAUUACUUUUGAACAAAUUAGAGUGCUUAAAGCAGGCUAAAAUUUUGCCUGAAUACUGUGUAUAUGGAAUAAUGGAAUAGGACCUCGGUUCUAUUUUGUUGGUUUUCAGAACCCCGAGGUAAUGAUUAAUAGGAACGGAUGGGGGCAUUCAUAUUGCGACGUUAGAGGUGAAAUUCUUGGAUCGUCGCAAGACGGACUAAAGCGAAAGCAUUUGCCAAAAACGCUUUCAUUGAUCAAGAACGAAAGUUAGAGGUUCGAAGGCGAUCAGAUACCGCCCUAGUUCUAACCAUAAACUAUGCCAGCUAGCGAUCCGCCGACGUCCCUCUGAUGACUCGGCGGGCAGCUUCCGGGAAACCAAAGCUUUUGGGUUCCGGGGGAAGUAUGGUUGCAAAGCUGAAACUUAAAGGAAUUGACGGAAGGGCACCACCAGGAGUGGAGCCUGCGGCUUAAUUUGACUCAACACGGGAAACCUCACCAGGCCCAGACACUGGAAGGAUUGACAGAUUGAGAGCUCUUUCUUGAUUCAGUGGGUGGUGGUGCAUGGCCGUUUUUAGUCGGUGGAGCGAUUUGUCAGGUUAAUUCCGAUAACGGACGAGACUCUGACCUGAUAACUAGACGCACUUGCGGCAUCUCAAAGGUCCGCCGGCGGCUGGCUUUGCGCCCGUCGUCGCGCGCGAUUUUUACUGCCGGCGUACAAUAAAUUCUUCUUAGAGGGACAAGUGG